AAUCAACGCUGGCGGCGUGCCUAACACAUGCAAGUCGAACGCGAAAGGGACUUCGGUUCUUAGUAGAGUGGCGUACGGGUGAGUAACGCGUGGGUCAUCUGCCCUCGGGUGGGGAAUAACUAAUCGAAAGGUUAGCUAAUACCGCAUAACACAGUGAUGUCAAAGCAGCAAUGUGCCUGAGGAGGAGCCUGCGUCUGAUUAGGUAGUUGGUGGGGUAAUGGCCUACCAAGCCUGCGAUCAGUAGCUGGUCUGAGAGGACGGCCAGCCACAAUGGCACUGAAACACGGGCCAU
rnacentral:rRNA from 1 species